UUAAGUUCAGCGGGUAUUCCUACCUGAUCCGAGGUCAAACUAUUCGGCCCGUGGGCCUUCAGUCGGGGCGUUUUACGGCUCGGCGCCGCGCCGGGCCUCCCGGGCCGCGAGGUGAGUGACUACUACGCGGGGGAGGGCGCCAGCGGGACCGCCACUGGAUUUGGGGGGCGGCCGUGUGAGGGCCGGUCCCCAACACCGCG
rnacentral:misc_RNA from 1 species